rnacentral:rRNA from 1 species
GACGAACGCUGGCGGCGUGCUUAACACAUGCAAGUCGAACGGAAAGGCCCUGCUUUUGUGGGGUGCUCGAGUGGCGAACGGGUGAGUAGCACGUGAGUAACCUGCCCUUGACUUUGGGAUAACUUCAGGAAACUGGGGCUAAUACCGGAUAGGAGCUCCUGCUGCAUGGUGGGGGUUGGAAAGUUUCGGCGGUUGGGGAUGGACUCGCGGCUUAUCAGCUUGUUGGUGGGGUAGUGGCUUACCAAGGCUUUGACGGGUAGCCGGCCUGAGAGGGUGACCGGCCACAUUGGGACUGAGAUACGGCCCAGACUCCUACGGGAGGCAGCAGUGGGGAAUAUUGCACAAUGGGCGGGAGCCGGAGGCAGCAACGCCGCGUGCGGGAUGACGGCCUUCGGGUUGUAAACCGCUUUCGCCUGUGACGAAGCGUGAGUGACGGUAAUGGGUAAAGAAGCACCGGCUAACUACGUG